rnacentral:lncRNA from 1 species
GGAGAGGUCAAGCUGGUGCCUACGUAGAAGAGGGAUGUUUUGAGAUUUUUUUUCUUAUACUGGAGAGAUGGCUCAGUGAUCGGGAGCACUAACUGUUCUUCUAGACGUCCUGAGUUCCAUUCCAAGCAACCACAUGGUGGCUUACAACCAUCUGUAAUGGGAUCUGAUGCUCUCUUCUGCUUCCUGCUGGUCCCUCCCCACAAUAGAUCCUAACAUGGUUUCAAGUCACUUCAAUUCUAUUACUCUUUUCCCCUCUUCCUUAAGACUUCUUUUUCCCUCUCAUAGUUCUCUUCCAUGGCUGCAGGGAGUGACCCAACUGGGGCAAUAAGGGAAUGAAGAAUGGACAGACACACAGACAGACACAGAAAAGUUGGAAUGAGGUCAUCUGGACUUUCUGACGGAGAAGCUACAGCCCUCCCCAUCUCCCAGCAAAAAAAGGAAAAUAACCACUUUCCUCUUCUACAUCAAGGGAAAUAUGGCUCUUCUACAUUCCUCUCUGACCCUCCUCCAAGACAUUUCUUAAAUCUUUUCACCUAUUGCCACAUUAAAAAUAAAUUAUAAUUAAUUAAUUAAUGACAAUCUGUCUAUAUAUUGCCUAUUACUAUCAAUAAAUAAAUAAGUAAAUAAAUGUUGUGAUAAUUAAACAACAAA